GCCACUUUAGCUCAGUUGGUAGAGCGGCUCACUCGUAAUGAGCAGGUCAGCAGUUCGAGUCUGCUAAGUGGCU
rnacentral:tRNA from 1 species